rnacentral:rRNA from 1 species
UACGUAGGGACCGAGCGUUGUCCGGAAUCAUUGGGCGUAAAGAGCGUGUAGGCGGCCUGUUAAGUCUUGCGUGAAAUCUCGGGGCUCAACCCCGAGCGGUCGUGAGAAACUGGCGGGCUAGAGUGCGGGAGAGGAGAGUGGAAUUCCUGGUGUAGCGGUGAAAUGCGCAGAUAUCAGGAGGAACACCCGUGGCUAAGGCGGUUCUCUAGUACGGUACUGACGCUGAGACGCGAAAGCGUGGGGAGCGAACAGG